UUCUUAUCUAUAUUGUCAAUAUAAUUUAUUGAUGAUAAUACAAUAUUAAAUAUAUUACAAAUUAUUAUUUAACGAUACAAAUAAUAGUUUAAUUACUAUAAUUUACUUACUUUAUGUUAGAUAUUAAUAUAUUAUAAAGAAUUGCAUAUUUACAUAUAAUAUCUAACAAUUACUACUUACUAGUUACAUUGUUAUCUUUCAUUAACAGUUACUAAAAUUUAAAAUACAAUAAUUUAUCAUGGUUUUUUUACAAGAAGUCAUUAUUUUAAACAAGUAUGUGGGUACAUCAAAACAAUGUUUCAGAAACUACAUCUAUACAACGUUUAACUAAGUUUACUUUUUGUGAACUAUUUAAAUGGUUACAUAGAAAAUAUCCAACUGGAAUUUUCCAUGAAGCAUUGAUACCCACAACCAUCAAAACAAAACAUUCAGUUGCUUCUUCUACUGUUUCAUUUUGUACUUCUGAUCCAAAAUUGACGUAGCCGUGAUAAGUCGUACCGUCCCAUUCAACAUGCUUCCUUAUUGCCAUUUCAUCCAUAAGUAAUGAGCAAUAAAGUUGAGUAGGUGAAUUUUUACAAACUAAAGAGAGUGUGUUAAUAGCUUCUUUAGUGAAACCAGGCUCAGCAUCAACAUGCAAAUACCACUUGCUAAGCGUUCUCGGACAAGGAAGCACAGAAUUAAAUUCAUCUCGUACAAAACGGAGGCUUCAUUAAAAAUGAUGUUGAUGGUUCACAUGUGAACUGGUUACAGUCAGUAGAAAUGGUAUUUGAGGAGCAUGACGGUUGCUGAACACUUAAUUCAUCAAGUUGUUGAACACCUUCCAUUUGAAUACUAUCAUGGUCAAUCUUUCAAAUAUUAAGAAUUAGAAUAUUUUCUUGUAUAACUUAAUUUUUUUUACUAUAUACUGUUAUACUUACAGUUAGAGAUUUAAUGGAACAAGGAUUUGAGUUACUAUCACCAAGUGUAUAACUCACCUCAGGAAUUUCAAUUUUUGCCUAAAAAUUUAAAUUGUAUAAUGUUAGAAUAAAAAUGUGAUGAUAUUGAAAUAAAAUAAAAUUUAAAUUAUUCUUUAAA